rnacentral:rRNA from 1 species
UACAGAGGUGGCAAGCGUUGUUCGGAAUUACUGGGCGUAAAGGGCGCGUAGGCGGCCUUCUAAGUCAGACGUGAAAUCCCCCGGCUUAACCUGGGAACUGCGCCUGAUACUGGGAGGCUAGAGUAUGGGAGAGGGAUGUAGAAUUCCAGGUGUAGCGGUGAAAUGCGUAGAUAUCUGGAGGAAUACCGGUGGCGAAGGCGGCAUCCUGGACCAUUACUGACGCUGAGGCGCGAAAGCUAGGGGAGCAAACGGG